rnacentral:rRNA from 1 species
CCUACGGGCGGCAGCAGUGAGGAAUAUUGGUCAAUGGACGAGAGUCUGAACCAGCCAAGUAGCGUGAAGGAUGACUGCCCUAUGGGUUGUAAACUUCUUUUAUAUGGGAAUAAAAUGUUCCACGUGUGGGAUUUUGUAUGUAACAUAUGAAUAAGGAUCGGCUAACUCCGUGCCAGCAGCCGCGGUAAUACGGAGGAUCCGAGCGUUAUCCGGAUUUAUUGGGUUUAAAGGGAGCGUAGGUGGAUUGUUAAGUCAGUUGUGAAAGUUUGCGGCUCAACCGUAAAAUUGCAGUUGAAACUGGCAGUCUUGAGUACAGUAGAGGUGGGCGGAAUGCGUGGUGUAGCGGUGAAAUGCUUAGAUAUCACGAAGAACUCCGAUUGCGAAGGCAGUUCACUGGACUGCAACUGACACUGAGGCUCGAAAGUGUGGGUAUCAAACAGGAUUAGAUACCCCAGUAGUC